UGAAAAGGGCAAACCCGUCGCGAGGCGGGGGCGCAAAGCCACGGGCCUGCUUGGCAGGUAGCCGGGUUGCCA
rnacentral:ncRNA from 1 species